CAUUGAAACACCGGUUCUCGUAUGAUCACCGAAGUUGAGCAACGUGGAGCCUGAAGAGUAUCUGGAUGAGGAAACGCUUGGGAAUACCAGGUGCUGUAA